rnacentral:tRNA from 1 species
GAGAGAGUAAGACUUAACCUUAAAGAUUGCUAACCUUCUAGGCCCGCAGUUUAAAUCCGCGGCUCACUCG